rnacentral:rRNA from 1 species
AAUUAGAAGCAACGCGAAGAACCUUACCAGGUCUUGACAUCCUCUGACAACCCUAGAGAUAGGGCUUUCCCUUCGGGGACAGAGUGACAGGUGGUGCAUGGUUGUCGUCAGCUCGUGUCGUGAGAUGUUGGGUUAAGUCCCGCAACGAGCGCAACCCUUGAUCUUAGUUGCCAGCAUUUAGUUGGGCACUCUAAGGUGACUGCCGGUGACAAACCGGAGGAAGGUGGGGAUGACGUCAAAUCAUCAUGCCCCUUAUGACCUGGGCUACACACGUGCUACAAUGGACAGAACAAAGGGCUGCGAGACCGCAAGGUUUAGCCAAUCCCAUAAAUCUGUUCUCAGUUCGGAUCGCAGUCUGCAACUCGACUGCGUGAAGCUGGAAUCGCUAGUAAUCGCGGAUCAGCAUGCCGCGGUGAAUACGUUCCCGGGCCUUGUACACACCGCCCGUCACACCACGAGAGUUUGCAACACCCGAAGUCGGUGAGGUA